rnacentral:rRNA from 1 species
GUACACUCCUGCGGGAGGCAGCAGUGGGGAAUAUUGCACAAUGGGCGCAAGCCUGAUGCAGCCAUGCCGCGUGUAUGAAGAAGGCCUUCGGGUUGUAAAGUACUUUCAGCGGGGAGGAAGGCGAUAAGGUUAAUAACCUUGUUGAUUGACGUUACCCGCAGAAGAAGCACCGGCUAACUCCGUGCCAGCAGCCGCGGUAAUACGGAGGGUGCAAGCGUUAAUCGGAAUUACUGGGCGUAAAGCGCACGCAGGCGGUCUGUCAAGUCGGAUGUGAAAUCCCCGGGCUCAACCUGGGAACUGCAUUCGAAACUGGCAGGCUAGAGUCUUGUAGAGGGGGGUAGAAUUCCAGGUGUAGCGGUGAAAUGCGUAGAGAUCUGGAGGAAUACCGGUGGCGAAGGCGGCCCCCGGGACAAAGACUGACGCUCAGGUGCGAAAGCGUGGGGAGCAAACAGGAUUAGAAACCCCAGUAGUCCCAUGA